rnacentral:rRNA from 1 species
AAACUCAAAGGAAUUGACGGGGACCCGCACAAGCAGUGGAGUAUGUGGUUUAAUUCGAAGCAACGCGAAGAACCUUACCAGGUCUUGACAUCCCUCUGACCGGUGUAGAGAUACACCUUUCCUUCGGGACAGAGGAGACAGGUGGUGCAUGGUUGUCGUCAGCUCGUGUCGUGAGAUGUUGGGUUAAGUCCCGCAACGAGCGCAACCCUUGAUCUUAGUUGCCAGCACUUCGGGUGGGCACUCUAAGGUGACUGCCGGUGACAAACCGGAGGAAGGUGGGGAUGACGUCAAAUCAUCAUGCCCCUUAUGACCUGGGCUACACACGUACUACAAUGGCCGGUACAACGGGCCGCGAAGCCGCGAGGUGGAGCUAAUCCUAAAAAGCCGGUCUCAGUUCGGAUUGCAGGCUGCAACUCGCCUGCAUGAAGUCGGAAUUGCUAGUAAUCGCGGAUCAGCAUGCCGCGGUGAAUACGUUCCCGGGUCUUGUACACACCGCCCGUCACACCACGAGAGUUUACAACACCCGAA